AUGGAGAGGAAAAGAAAUCAAAGGGUGAGCAAGCAAAGGAGCUGCUAGCAAAAUAUGGAGGAGCAUACCUGGCCACAUCAAUUACUCUCUCCUUAAUCUCCUUUUCUCUCUGUUAUGCACUCAUUAGCGCAGGCAUUGAUGUCCAAGCUUUGCUGCAAAAGGUCAGGCUGAGUUUUAAUUUUAAUUAAUUUCUAUCUUCUGCACAUAGCAAACCAGUAAUUUAUCAUUAAUUAACGGUUUUCAGGUGGGAAUUUCAACUGACGAGGCUGGGGAGAAAGUUGGGACCUUUGCUUUGGCGUAUGCUGCGCAUAAGGCUGCAUCUCCAAUUAGGUUUCCUCCAACUGUAGCUCUCACUCCCGUUGUUGCUUCUUGGAUUGG
rnacentral:lncRNA from 1 species